rnacentral:rRNA from 1 species
UACGAAGGGGGCUAGCGUUGCUCGGAAUCACUGGGCGUAAAGCGCACGUAGGCGGAUUGCUAAGUCAGGGGUGAAAUCCUGGAGCUCAACUCCAGAACUGCCUUUGAUACUGGCGACCUUGAGUCCGGGAGAGGAGAGUGGAACUGCGAGUGUAGAGGUGAAAUUCGUAGAUAUUCGCAAGAACACCAGUGGCGAAGGCGGCUCACUGGCCCGGUACUGACGCUGAGGUGCGAAAGCGUGGGGAGCAAACAGG